UGGCCUGAAGUCCAGGCGGGAGUUUCUGGGCAUAGGGGACUGUGUUGAAGUGUGGGGAGGAAACAAAGAUGAUUUGGCUUGAAACCGAUCCUUGUGUCUUAAUUAAGACUGGAGAUGCUUUGUCAAGAUCACUGGGAAAGAGGGAAGUUUACCAGAUCCAUUUGUCUCCUGAGGACAGCACACUUAAGCAGUGCUGUAUUUUCCCUUCAAUGUUUGGCUUCCCGCAACAUUCCACAGGACAAGCUUAAAGCUCACUGCCAGAAAUGCUGUUCCAUCCUCACCCCACAAGCUGCUGCUGGAGCCUUCUUGGAUCAUAGCCAGAGGGACAUCCUUCCCCUAUCAAAUUAAAAUACCCUGCUAGAACUCCAUCCUACACUUGCAAGCCAGUUGUCAGUCUUGAUGGAGCCCAGCCUUCAAGUUCCUUCCCAACCAAGCUGGGGGAGAGUGGCAGAUUUAUCUUUUCCAACAAAGCAAAAGGCCUCCGGGACCCUUUGAAGCGAGCAGAGGGGCCCAGGCAGAGGGCAGCUGGCUGGAGAACAGAUCCUGCUGGAGUACCCCCUGCAUAUUCUUCUCAUCCAGAUCACAAAGAAUUCCUCUCUUCAAAAGGCCCUUGUCCUAUAUUCAAAUAACCAUCACCCAGAACAAUAAGAAAUGAGUAACAAUGAUCUUUAAUUUUUGUUUUGUUUAUUAAACA